GAACGCGCAGCAUUCUGUAGCAAUACAGGGUGUGGGCGCGUGGCGAACGGGUGCGUAACACGUGGAUAACCUUCCUUCAGGUGGGGAAUAACCCAGUGAAAAUUGGGCUAAUACCGCAUAACAUGACGGUGGCACAUGCUGCUGUCUUCAAAGGCGCAAGUCGCCAGAAGAGGGAUCCGCGGCCGAUUAGCUUGUUGGCGGGGUAACGGCCCACCAAGGCAAUGAUCGGUAGCCGGACUGAGAGGUUGGCCGGCCACACUGGAACUGAGACACGGUCCAGACUCCUACGGGAGGCAGCAGUGGGGAAUCUUGCGCAAUGGGCGAAAGCCUGACGCAGCAACGCCGCGUGGGGGAUGAAGCUUACUCGGAGUGUAAACCCCUUUCGACCCGGACGAAUGCCCGCAAGGGUUUGACGGUACGGGUAUAAGAAGCCCCGGCUAACUACGUG
rnacentral:rRNA from 1 species